GAGAGAAAGAGAGGGGAAAAAAGAAGACGAAUCAAAAUUCGACUAUCCUCGAUUUAACUGCGGCCAAUUUCCAGCUGAAAACCAUCUCUUGGCGAUCAUGAAAAUUACCGGUUACCCGAAUGACCCUGCGUGACGAGUGUUGGGAUUCAAGCAUACUAUAACUCACGGAAAUAUGCCACCAUUUGUAAGGAACUUUUAUAAACGUAUUACGUGUGUUAUAUUUGGAGCAUUUUGGAAUUUCGCUAGCGCUAUAAUGACGCAGAACCAACAUGAUUAUAUCGUAAUCAGCCUCGAUGCUCACUAUUAUUACGUUACGAAGCAUCCAAGUACUAAGUACUAAGUACAAAG
rnacentral:misc_RNA from 1 species